rnacentral:lncRNA from 1 species
CUGAAGGUGGACAGGAGGGCUGUUCUCUGGCCCAGGCCCCUCAUGAUGACACUGGACUUCAGGUGGAAGAUUUACAGAAACUACUGCAAGGGAAGUGGGAAUUCUGAUCCUCCAAGUUGGAGCUGACUUACUCUUGUUAUCUCCUCCUUGAGCUAACUACUUUCUUAAUGUGUCUUCUUUUCACUUCACUCACAGAAUGUCAUGCUGUGAGCCCUGACUGCCAUUAGACUCACUCUGCUUGAAGGACUCAUUCCAAGAAGCGCACACACUUGACAAGUCACAAGCGUAGCACUCCUGGGUUCAAGUAACUUCUUCUGCGAGUGUUCCACAAGAUGAGCAAACAUUUCUAAUAAAUUUUAACUUGUUAAAUGAGCAACAUCUUACAAUACGAGUGGUACUGACACCAGAUGUCAGCUGAUCACAACUGAGCCGAUAGUUCCCCACCUCUGUCUCUGUCUCUCUCACUGCGGGAUUGUGGGUGAUCAUCUCCCAACAUCAAGAGGCUAUGGAGGAGCUCUCACCUGCAGAGGAGGAGAAGAAAAGGGCAGAGGGAUCCCUCACUUCAAGUGAAAUUAGGAGAUGUGUGAACUGUGCGGAACAGUGCAAAGUCUUGUGGAAAAGCACCACCUGAAUAAGGCUGUCCCAGUGAGAGCAAUGAAUCUGCUUACGGACAAUGCAGUGGCCCCUUCCGCCAAACCCUCAAAAGGAGGCAAAGGCGAGUGUCACUGGACAGGUUUCUUGUUAAAGCUGCAUGAAAAGAAGAUUCCACAGAGCCAAUGGACAGCAGUGAUUCUGUCAGUGAUGGGAAAGUCUCUUGUCUCCUCCACAUCAGCCACAAAGGUUUCCAAAGGUCACGAGCACAGCACAGCGCAGGAGAAUGAAAGAUUACUCAGGGUUGGUCCCAGAGGGGCUGAGAGGACCCGAGACCCCCAGUGGGAGAGAGCCUGAUGAGGGCGCCCCAAACUGCAGCCUUGGUGGCCUUUUAUUGAUGGAAC